GGGAAGGCCGCGCUCCAAGAAUGGCCUGGCCUCCCAGGGCGGGCACAGAGCGGUGACCUCGGGGCCUGCGCACAAAGCUCUGCUUUCCAGAGAUACCAACUUCCUCCAGGAGAUUAACCGCAAACAGGAAGUUGCCCCUCCAGGGACUAAACUGAAAGCCAAGUGUCAGUUUUCAGUUUAAGAGACCUGUCCUGGGUGCUGUUUCCUCAUACUCUGGUGAGUGAUGGGCUACAGGGAAAGCUGCAAACUGAUCAGGGCUCUUCCUCCUCCUUCCUUUCAUCGAAGCUGCUCUUUGUUCGUGGAAGAAAUGA